rnacentral:rRNA from 1 species
CCUACGGGAGGCAGCAGUGGGGAAUCUUGCGCAAUGGGCGAAAGCCUGACGCAGCAACGCCGCGUGCGGGAAGAAGGCUUUCGGGCUGUAAACCGCUUUCAGCAGGAACGAAAAUGACGGUACCUGCAGAAGAAGGAGCGGCCAACUAUGUGCCAGCAGCCGCGGUGAUACAUAGGCUUCAAGCGUUGUCCGGAUUUAUUGGGCGUAAAGAGUUCGUAGGCGGUCAAGUAAGUCGGGUGUGAAAAUUCUGGGCUCAACCCAGAGACGCCACCCGAUACUGCUUAACUUGAGUUCGAUAGGGGAGUGGGGAAUUCCUAGUGUAGCGGUGAAAUGCGCAGAUAUUAGGAGGAACACCGGUGGCGAAGGCGCCACUCUGGAUCGAUACUGACGCUGAGGAACGAAAGCAUGGGUAGCAAACAGGAUUAGAUACCCUGGUAGUCCAUGCCGUAAACGGUGGGCACUAGGUGUGGGUUUCUAUUACGAAAUCCGNGCCGUCGCUAACGCAUUAAGUGCCCCGCCUGGGGAGUACGGUCGCGAGACGUAAACGUACAANAGAAGUUAAGUACGGCGUUGAGACGUUGCCGAACGGACGACGACGAGGGAGGAGG